rnacentral:tRNA from 1 species
GACCUAUUAGUCAAGUGGCUAAGACAUCAUCCUUUCACGGUGAGGGCGGGGGUUCAAUUCCCCCAUAGGUCA